ACAUCUCUCUAUACGUGUGUGUGUGUUCUCUUGCAGACUACCUGACGUGUGGGUGAAUGAAACGGAAAGGUCUGGGCUGAAGACCAAAGUGGUGCACUUGUCCCAGUUACCGCACGACACAGCCAUGCAGCUUGACCCCAACAUCUACAGAGCACUUCCUCAGAAACGUCUGAAACGCAGCCUGUAAGGACUCCUCUGUGGACUUGAUACUUAAGGAGAAGCUUGUUCAUAGGAAGUUAUCUAUAUGGGAUGGGACACUCUUCAUCUGUCUCGGCUGAACGGGAGGAUUGAACUGGCGAUUUAAAGGAAGUAUAACUUGGCAAUGCUGCAGUUCUCCUACUCUUCCCUUUUUGAAUUUUGUAUAUCUGAAAUGACUGUCGUAGCCGAGGGUGAUGUAAUCGCUGACAACACUUUUUUCUAAAGUUUUGUUUAUCAACAACUUAAAUGAAUGUGGUUUUUUUAAAGCAUCAAACUGAAAUAAUACUUAAUACCCAAUGUUGUAAAAACUGUUUUGUGUAACUUGUCAGAAAAAAACGCAUAUUUUAUAACUGUUUUGUGUAAAAUAUUUAUGCAGAUUUUUAACUUAUUUUUAUACCAUUGUCUAAUGUGGGUUUUGUGAAGGUUCUAAUAGAACCGUAUUUACUGUGACAAUCUUUGUUUGGGAUAUAUGGACAUCUCUAGUUGUAAAUAUGUUGUACACAUCUUAAGUCGUAACAAAUUAUUUAUACUCGCUGAAGGCUGUACUUUUUACCUAUGUGUAUGACAAUUGGAGUAAGCGCUUGUACUAGUCGUGUCAGCCGUGCAUUUAAUGCAAAAACACAAGUUCACAGGAGCAAUACCUCAGUAGUUACAGACACUGCAGUGCAGCUCUUAAUCUUAUCCAGCCUGAAGACAGGACAGCAUGUCAUAUGACUACAGCAUUCUUAAAAAAAACGGUACCCCAACCCCCUUUCUUAAAAGUAACAUGAAUUGUCUUUAUCAUAGUUGUUAUGAUAACUUUACAUUAUUGCUUUUUUUAUUUUUAAACUGUUUUUUUCUAUAUGAUCUUGUCCCUGUUGGAAAUGGAAUACUGUGUUUGUAAU